GCGGAGGGGGCAGAGGAGGAGGAGCGGGGAAGGACCGACGGUAGGAGGGCCCGCCGCUGGCCAACUCCGCCGGUUGGCAAAGCCACCCCGGACUGGCUCUGGCCUCGCCGGCUGCAGGAGCGCCUCGCGGGGCCGCCCGCCUAUUCCAUGGUCGGCGCGAUGGGGGCCGGGGCCGGGCCGGAGCGAACAGGGAGCACCGAGCGAGCUGGGAGCAUGAGCUAGCGCAGCUCCCGGCAGCCUGCAGCGGCGAGGCUGGUCGGGCCAGGGUUGGCGGGGGGCAGUGCCUGGGACACAGCCCGGCGCUGGCCGGCAUGGCGGGGAGGGGGCGCGCUGGGAGGAGACUGGGCUGGGGAGGGAUCCCUGUGUGCAGUCCUUCAACCCUUCUGUGCCAGGGGAAGAGGGACGGCGCAGGGGGCCCCCUCUCGGGAAGCACACACGCUGCCUCCCAGAGGCCGAUCUUCACCAAGAAGGAUUCGCUGGAAACUUUCGGAAAACCGAGGGGCUCUUCAGCCUCCUCUCUACGUGCUACCUGGAGUCGGGGCGCCGCGAGUGCGCUUGGCUGCCCGCGCCCAGCCUCUGGCCUCGCCUCUUCUCGCGGGCCUCCCGGGUUUCCCUCUGCCCCCUUGCGGGGAUCCCCCUGUGCGCCCGACUCGGGAUCUGGAACAGGCCUCCCCAGAGGCUGUUAGUUCCAUAAGGGUGUCCGGCUCCCCCCUCUGUCUUGGGCUCACACUUCGCUUUCUGUUCGUGCUGGACCAAGUCCAAUACUGUGGCUGAUCGAAGUGGGGACAGCUGGCACGGUCCCUGGAGAGGCGGCCUGAAGAGGCUUCUGGCCUUGUGCAGAUUUUGGAGUGAAGGGCACUGUUAAAGUAAAGCACAGAGAGUGAUUCCUUGGGCGGCCAGGCACCACCUAGGGAAGAAAGGUGGGGAUCCUGGUCCCUAGGCUGACAGCAACUGAGACCUGAUAGGUUCCUCAGCCCCCCAGGUGAUGGCCAAGUGAGACAGGCCUCAGGAGCUCCUCUCCAAAGAAAACAGUCAUUUUUUUUCCUACCUGUCCCUUUCAGUCUUUGGAAGCUCCCUCCAGAAACCGAACUGUGAAAGGAGCAAGAGUUGAAAUGAAGAAUGUGCUCUGAUACUUCAGUCUGAGAGUAUUUCUUUCCUGGAGAGAGAGGCAUCACUCCUAGAUGUGUGGGGGUCUUCACCCUUUCAGGAAUAAGACAGGUCCCUGCAGAGACUUUGGACCUGAUGUGGUGAAUAAAGUUGGUUAGUCUUUCUCACAGUUCUACCUUUAGGACAAAGAAUAGAAAGCCUCCCGUGACUAUAUUCACUAACUCUCAGCCCAGGCCAGAUCAUCCACCAGCCAGUGAAAGGGACCUCGUCUGUGGCCAAACUAGGUGCAGCUCGGUGCCCUCCUGUGAUAUUUCCAGCUCUCCAGCCUCCUGCUGACCACAGCUCACAGACCUCAUGGAGUAGUUUCCAGGACAAAGCAAGGUUAUGUCUCCACAACACCAAACAUUCCCAGGUGUGGCAGGCAAGCCAUUGAUUUAGAAGAGAGGAGGAGAGAGGAAGAGAAAACCAGAAAAGGCACUUUCUUGGUAAAGAGACAUCAGCUUUCUCACCAUGGCUGUUUCAUAACACAAGGAGACCUGGCCCAAGCUCAGAGGGGAAAGACCCCUGGGUGUUCAUGGAAAACCUUUAAGCACAGUGAGACCAAAUGUUAGUAGAUGGGGGAUAAAAGGGAGAAAUUCAUGGAGUAUGCCUAGAACAGGCCUUGUAUGCAGCAUCCCCUUCUUGCCUAGGACUUGAAGGGCCAGGCUUCCUGUCAUUGCCUCACUCAAAUGUAGCCCAGGAAGACAUUAGACUGAUAGCACUGAUCACCUCCAGACAAAACCCCUGCACCUGCACAGUCACAUAGACUUGGACAAAAGCCCAUCCUUACUAAGGAAGACCUAACAACUAUUUCUUCUCACGCCCAUUCUUGUCCACCGUCUUUAUCAAAAAGCCAGGAAAACUGCUUCUUCAGACACUUUCUGAGCCGGCUGUAUUUUGAAGGACAAAAAAAAAAAAAUUACUCUUUUGAGAGCAUUGUGUCUGCAAGGUGGGCUCACGUUAUUUUUGGUGAUCAGUUUAUGACUGGAGUUCAAAUAGACUGCUUAUUUUAUAAGAGUUUUUAAUUUUGAAUAUUCUUUUUGCUGAACUGUGUGCAUUUGUUUGGUUUUUAACUCACCACAUGAAUAUGACUAUAGAUUUUUUUUUCCUAGUUGACCAUGGUCAGAUUCACAAUUGCCUUUAAAAAAAAUUUGUUGGCUGGGCACGGUGGCUCACGCCUGUAAUCCCAACACUUUAGGAGGCUGAAGCAGGUGGAUCAUCUGAGGUCAGAAGUUCGAGGCCAACCUGGCCAACAUGGUGAAACUCCGUCUCUACUAAAAAUACAAAAAUUAGCCAGGCAGGGUGGCGCAUGCCUGUAAUCCCAGCUACUCAGGAGGCUAAGGCAGGAGACUCUCUUGAACCCGGAAGGUGGAGGUUGCAGUGAGCCGAGAUCACGACACUGCACUCCAGCCUGGGUGGCAGAGCGAGACUCUGUCUCAGAAGAAAAAAAAAAAAAAAAGAAAAUGUGUUGAAGUAUAACAUACAUGAGGCAAAACGCACACAGCUUAAGCAUUAACUCAAUGACUCUGUAUAUACGUAUACAUCCUCACAGGUUCCAGACCAAGACAUGGAACAUUUCCUGCUCUCCCUGAAAGUCUCCCUGUGCCAGCCCCUCACCAGGCAAUAAUUCCCCAGAGAUAGUGCCUCUUCCCAACCCUGUACCCUAGAUCAUUGUUGCCUGUCCUUGAACCUCAGAUAAAGGGAGGCUCCUUUUGCCCAUCUUCGUUUUUGUGAUGUCUGUCCAUUGUGGUGUGCAUAGCUGUGAUUUGUUCUUUUUCACACUGUGAAGGUGUAGGUGGUUUUCACCUGAUGCUUCAGUUCCCUUCCAACUUUAGUAUAAGCCAAGAAUAAUCAAACCACUACAUCUGGAUCAGAGACAAAUGACCUCCCAGAUUGGCUAGUUUUGUAAGGAACUUCAGUUGAAAUUGAAACAGUCAUCAGCUGCUUCUCAAACCAGCUACACUACAUAAGGAGGAGCCCAAGGGAAACUGCAGGACAACAGGUCCACUGGGAAACUUCAGGGGGCCAAGCUGUCAAAGACAAGCACAGAAAAAUUCCUGCAAUGUGCGUUAGACCUUGAGGCAGCUUUUAAUGGCAAAAGUCAGUACAACCCAUUUCCUUUUUCUCUAAAUGAGAGGAAAGUAGAAUAGGUUCCAUCAGGAAAGAGUCACACCCAGGCCAUGACAAACUCAUGGAGGAUCCUGUCAAUCAAAUUCCUUUCUGCUGGGCAGAAAAAGUAUGUGGGAGCUUGUUAGUAAGGUGCAUUCCCAACCUAUCCUGAGGAUGUGGGACUCAGGAAGCCCAACAAUCUGCCCUAUUUACAAGGUCCCAGGUAUCCUUUCAUAUUAAGAUUUGAGACCUGCUGUUUCAGAGAAAGGGACAGCUUGGCAUGUAUUUUUUGGUAAAUCCUGGAGGGCAAGUCUAAAAAGCAAAAAAUAUACCGCCCAGCACCUAUUUGUUGAUAUUUUAAAUUGACUUGUUUGGGGUGUUUGGAAGAAAUAAAGACAGAGUAUGAAAACACAA